CUCCAGCCUGGGCCGCAGAGCAAGACUCCAUCUCAGAAUAAAUACAUAAAUAAAGACUAGGUCUCCCUAUGUUGCCCAAGCUGGUCUGGAACUUUUGGCAUAAAGAGAUCCAUCUUGGUCUCUCACAGGGCUGGAAUGAUAUGUGCUAUUUUAAAAGUAGACUUUCAAACUUUGUUUCUUUGAGGAAUUUACUUUUUACUUUAUAGUGAACUGGAUCUUUCAAAUCAUCACAGCAAAACAUUACACCAUUCAUACUAGGUGGGGUCUAAGUAAAAGGUCUAAAAUGUAAACAUUUUUCUGUUUAAGGUUUUAAUUUUGAGAUCAUUGUAGAUUGACAUACUGGUGUAAGAAAUAAUAACCUUGUGUGUCUUUCCCCAGUCCCCCAAGGGUAACUUUUUGUAGAAAUGGAGUACAAUUAUCACCAGGAUAUUGACAUUGGUACAGUCUCUCUUUGAUGCAGUCCACCAUCUCAUUCAGAUUUCCCUGCUUUUACUUCUGCUCAUUUGUGUGUGUGUUUAGUUCAUUAACUACAUGGCAUACUUUAUUCAGAACUUAGUGUUUUUUUUUCCUAAUGUCCUUUUUCUGUCUCAGAAUCCCACAUUACUGUGAGACUUCAUGUCCCAAGGGGUUGGGCUCCUCUAGACAGUGACAGUUUCUCAGGCUGUCCUUUUUGGUGACCUUGAGAGUUUUGAGGAAUACUGGUCAUGUGAUUUGUGGAAUGUCCCUGUUUUGGUUUUCUGGUGUUUUUCUCAUGAUUCAGCUGUGGUUAUGGGUUUUGGGAAGGAAGACCACGGAGGGUAAGUGCUCUUCUCAUCCCCUUAUAUUAAGGGUGAUGCUGUCAAGACUGCAUGGCUGAGGUCAUAUUUGCCAGGGUUUCUCCACUGUGGAGUGACUCUUUCCCUCCUUUAUGUACUGUUCGUUUUGGAAGGGAGUCACUCUGGAUGGGUACUUUACUGGGACGGGGAGUUCUGUUCCUCCUCCUGGAGGACGGAGUAGCUACAUAAAUUAUUUGAAAUGUUUCUGUAUGGAAGAUUUGCUGAUCCUUACUCAUUUGUGUUUAUUCAGUUACUCAUAUCAACAUGGACUUGCAGAUAUUGUGUGUAUGCUUUGGGUUAUCAUCCAGUGCUGUGUGGUUUGUUUUGUUGCCCCCGUCAUCUGGCUGUGUCCACUGGGAGCUCUUUCAGCUGGCUCCUGUGUCCCUUUCACAUAGUCACAUUAUUAUUUGUUUGCUGUUUUGAGCACUUCCUUACUUUCUGGAACUACAUGGUGUUCUGAGAUCAUCUAUGUGUUUUCUGCCCCAGCCUUAGACUCCAGCAUUUCUCCAAGGAUCCCCAGUUCCUUUUGUGGGAGAAUGGAAUUAGAAACCAAGAUCUGGGCACUGAUGUGCUCAUUAUUACUGGGAUAUCAUGGCAUCUUGGCCCCCUCAGGGGACAGAGUUGGGAAAACAGGUGUGUAUAUACAAAUGCGUGUAUAUAGACGUCUGUGAUUAUUUUGAUAUAUAUCCAUCUGCAUCCAUAUUAAGCUCUACAUGCGUUCAUGUUGAUGUCUCCAACUCUACAGGGAUUAUUCUAGCCUUGCCCUCCAGCUUACCUGUAACUUCUCUGUCCAGCAGAGAAAAUCCCACUGUGGCUCCUGCUGUCCACAGUCCAUUUACUUAUCUUGUUCCACUUUGGUAUACAUGGAGGUUUCAAAAUUGUUGUCCUGUACUCCUUGGGAAAUGACUUGAUCCCUUAGAGUACUGCGCUCAGGUACAGUUCCUUUCACUUUGAGUCUACAUUCUCCCCUCGUUUCCACAUUACUUAGGUACUUCUCUCCCCGUUUCCACGUUACUUAGGUACUUCUCUCCGCACCCCUCUCUGCAUUGCUGAGUCCUAUACGUGUAAUCCAAUCGGUUUCUUCUGCCUCAGCCUGCAUUCUAUAGGGUCUCAUUAAUUGUUUUUAAAAUCGCAUAGACGAAUGUUUGCUGUUUGUGCUGUAAAGUUCACUGGAUUUGAGAGAGGCAUCCACAGCUACAGUACUGUACAGAACAGUCGCACUGCCCCGCAAAUCCCUGUGCCUCACCUCCUAAGCUCUCCACAACCACCAGUCUCUUCUCCAUCUCUUGAGGUUUUUCCCUUUCCAGAAUGUCAUAUUAUUGGGUUCAUGCAGUCUGCAGCCUUUUCAGACUGGCUUCUUUUGUCUAGCAAUAUUUGUUGAGUGGAUUGAGAGUUCAUGUCUUUGUGUCUUUUGCUGCUAUUUACCAUGUGGCUAUACUGAUAAGUCGUUUAACAAGUCUCUUAAUUUGUAGCUUCUCUUUUCAUUCCUUCCUUCUUACCGUUUUUUUUUUUUUUUUUUUU